UUCAUAUCAAUUCAUUUGGCAACCGUGAAAAAUUGAUAGCGAAGUGCAUCAAAAUCCAACUUUCAAAGCAAUAAGCAAUAUCACAAACACCACUCAUGUAAGAUUCAUCUUAUGAAUACCAAAGUGCCAUCUUAGCCCUACCUGUAUAUACCACGUUAGGGGCAGAGCACAUAGUUCAAUGAUGUUGGUAGAUAAAAAACCAAAAAAAAUCAGAAACUCAACAGAAGGAUGUCGUAUGGUUCGAUUCAAUGCCAAGUGAAGGGGCGGUAUAUUUCUGCAGCUUCUAUGUAGCAUGAAAAAGUACCAGGCUGUUUACACCCAAACUAGAGCGAAUAUAAUGCCUUUGACGACUAAAUUACUUGCUCAAUAGGCCAUAUCACCCGUGAAUAGAAAAAUGCUUCCGGUUAACGAUUUUAGUUGGCUCCUACUAUGACGUUGGACCGAUUUUGUGAGACGUCGAACUGGAAUCAAUCCACCCAAGAAACGUUACGAAAUAAAGAAAACAGAAUUAGCUGAGGAGAAACGUCUGAUGGAAUGCCUAAUCGUCAAUAUGCUGAGGAUUGAUAAUACCACAGACUAACAGAUUUACAUUUUGUCACAUUAGAGGUUUCGGAAAAUGACUGGAUAAUAGUAUUAACUUAUGAAGAUUGGAAGCAUCUUCUAGAAAACAUCGCACUCAACCGCACUGUACUCAGCAUGCGUAUCCAAAUAG